UAGGGAAUCUUCCGCAAUGGGCGAAAGCCUGACGGAGCAACGCCGCGUGAGUGAUGAAGGUCUUCGGAUCGUAAAACUCUGUUAUUAGGGAAGAACAAAUGUGUAAGUAACUAUGCACGUCUUGACGGUACCUAAUCAGAAAGCCACGGCUAACUACGUGCCAGCAGCCGCGGUAAUACGUAGGUGGCAAGCGUUAUCCGGAAUUAUUGGGCGUAAAGCGCGCGUAGGCGGUUUUUUAAGUCUGAUGUGAAAGCCCACGGCUCAACCGUGGAGGGUCAUUGGAAACUGGAGAACUGGAGUGCAGAAGAGGAAAGUGGAAUUCCAUGUGUAGCGGUGAAAUGCGCAGAGAUAUGGAGGAACACCAGUGGCGAAGGCGACUUUCUGGUCUGUAACUGACGCUGAUGUGCGAAAGCGUGGGGAUCAAACAGG
rnacentral:rRNA from 1 species